rnacentral:rRNA from 1 species
AGCGUUGAAGAUGUACCGGCAAGGAGCGUUGGAGCGGAUAGAAGUGAGCAUGCAGGCAUGAGUAGCGAUAAUUGAGGUGAGAAUCCUCAACGCCGAAAACCCAAGGUUUCCUACGCGAUGCUCGUCAUCGUAGGGUUAGUCGGGUCCUAAGUCGAGUCCGAAAGGGGUAGACGAUGGCAAAUUGAUUAAUAUUUCAAUACCAACAUACAAGCGCGAUGUGGGGACGCAUAGAGUUAAUCGAGCUCACUGAUGGAAUAGUGGGUCGAAGGACGUAGGUUGAUACUUAGGCAAAUCCGGGUAUCAUAAGACCGAGAUCUUACAGGCUCUUGACACUCUUCGGAGGAGAUGGAGAAUCGAUGAUACUGUCGUGCCAAGAAAAGCCACUAAGUAUAUUGUAUGUUGCCCGUACCGUAAACCGACACAGGUGGGUGGGAUGAGUAUUCUAAGGCGCGUGGAAGAACCCUGGUUAAGGAACUCUGCAAACUAGCACCGUAUCUUCGGUAUAAGGUGUGCCUACUUUGGUAUAUGGGCUUGCCCCAAAAAGCUAGAGAGGUUGCAACAAAGAGUCCCUCCCGACUGUUUACCAAAAACACAGCACUUUGCUAACACGUAAGUGGAUGUAUAAGGUGUGACGCCUGCCCGGUGCUCGAAGGUUAACUGAUGAUGUCAGCGCAAGCGAAGCAUUUGAUUGAAGCCCGAGUAAACGGCGGCCGUAACAAUAACGGUCCUAAGGUAGCGAAAUUCCUUGUCGGUUAAAUACCGACCUGCAUGAAUGGCGUAACGAGAUGGGAGCUGUCUCAACCAGGGAUCCAGUGAAAUUGUAGUGGAGGUGAAAAUUCCUCCUACCCGCGGAAAGACGGAAAGACCCCGUGCACCUUUACUACAGCUUGACACUGUAGCUUGGAUAUUCAUGUGCAGGAUAGGUGGGAGGCUAUGAUAUAUGGACGCAAGUACAUAUGGAGCCAUCCUUGAGAUACCACCCUUGAAUAUUUGAGUUACUAACUGCGUACAAUUAUCUUGUAUCAGGACAAUGUCUGGUGGGUAGUUUGACUGGGGCGGUCGCCUCCUAAAAAGUAACGGAGGCUUACAAAGGUUAGUUCAUGGCGGUUGGAAAUCGCCAGUUGAGUAUAAUGGCAUAAACUAGCUUGACUGUGAGACAUACAAGUCGAACAGAGGCGAAAGUCGGUCAUAGUGAUCCGGUGGUUCUGUGUGGAAGGGCCAUCGCUCAAAGGAUAAAAGGUACGCCGGGGAUAACAGGCUGAUCUCCCCCAAGAGCUCACAUCGACGGGAAGGUUUGGCACCUCGAUGUCGGCUCAUCGCAUCCUGGGGCUGAAGUAGGUCCCAAGGGUAUGGCUGUUCGCCAUUUAAAGCGGUACGCGAGCUGGGUUCAGAACGUCGUGAGACAGUUCGGUCCCUAUCUUCCGUGGGCGUAGGAAAGUUGAAGAGAUUUGUCCCUAGUACGAGAGGACCGGGAUGAACGUACCACUGGUGUACCAAUUGUUCUGCCAAGAGCAUCGUUGGGUAGCUACGUACGGAUGUGAUAAGAGCUGAAAGCAUCUAAGCUCGAAGCCAACUCUAAGAUUAACUUUCCCUGAAGUUCCCAGCAAGACUAGCUGGUUGAUAGGCUGGAUGUGUAAGCGUUGUAAGACGUUUAGCUGACCAGUACUAAUAGAACGUUCGGCUU